GACGAACGCUGGCGGCAUGCCUAAUACAUGCAGGUCGAGCGAACAGAUGAAGUGCUUGCACUUCUGACGUUAGCGGCGAACGGGUGAGUAGCACGUAAGGAAUCUACCUAUAAGCGGGGGAUAACAUUCGGAAACGGGUGCUAAUACCGCAUAAUAUCUUCUUCCGCAUGGAAGAAGAUUGAAAGACGGCUCUGCUGUCACUUAUAGAUGACCUUGCGGUGCAUUAGUUAGUUGGUGGGGUAACGGCCUACCAAGACGAUGAUGCAUAGCCGACCUGAGAGGGUGAUCGGCCACAUUGGGACUGAGACACGGCCCAAACUCCUACGGGAGGCAGCAGUAGGGAAUCUUCCGCAAUGGGCGAAAGCCUGACGGAGCAAUGCCGCGUGAGUGAAGAAGGCCUUCGGGUCGUAAAACUCUGUUAUAGGAGAAGAACAAAUUGUAGAGUAACUGCUACAGUCUUGACGGUAUCUUAUCAGAAAGCCACGGCUAACUACGUGCCAGCCGCCGCGGUAA
rnacentral:rRNA from 1 species